rnacentral:rRNA from 1 species
GAAAAGAAACCAACAGGGAUUGCCCUAGUAACGGCGAGUGAAGCGGCAACAGCUCAAAUUUGAAAUCUGGCCUCGGCCCGAGUUGUAAUUUGCAGAGGAUGCUUUUGGCGCGGUGCCUUCCGAGUUCCCUGGAACGGGACGCCACAGAGGGUGAGAGCCCCGUAUGGUUGGACACCAAGCCUGUGUAAAGCUCCUUCGACGAGUCGAGUAGUUUGGGAAUGCUGCUCAAAAUGGGAGGUAAAUCUCUUCUAAAGCUAAAUACCGGCCAGAGACCGAUAGCGCACAAGUAGAGUGAUCGAAAGAUGAAAAGCACCUUGAAAAGGGGGUUAAACAGUACGUGAAAUUGUUGAAAGGGAAGCGCUUGUGACCAGACUUGCGCCUGGCGGCUCAUCCGGGGUUCUCUCCGGUGCACUCCGCCAGGCUCAGGCCAGCAUCGGUUCUCGCGGGGGGAUAAGAUUGGCGGGAACGUAGCACCCUCCGGGGUGUGUUAUAGCCCGCCGAACGAUACCCUCGCGGGGACCGAGGUUCGCGCUCCGCAAGGAUGCUGGCGUAAUGGUCAUCAGCGACCCGUCUUGAAACACGGACCAAGGAGUCGUCCAUUAUAGCGAGCGUUUGGGUGUAAAACCCGCACGCGUAAUGAAAGUGAAAUUAGGUGAGAGCUUCGGCGCAUCAUCGACCGAUCCUGAUGUUCUCGGAAGGAUUUGAGUAAGAGUUAUAACGGACGGACCCGAAAGACAGUGAACUAUGCUUGUAUAGGGUGAAGCCAGAGGAAACUCUGGUGGAGGCUCGCAGCGGUUCUGACGUGCAAAUCGAUCGUCAAAUAUGAGCAUGGGGGCGAAAGACUAAUCGAACUGUCUAGU